CAGAUCAUUUGGGUAAAGCAAAGUUAGACUUGAUAAUUGCAUAUACUGCAAACUCGCUGUUUUGGACUUAUUUAGUAACACAGGGGAUGGACCCAAAGAAUCAUCCAAUCAAAGAUGAGCUUAUUCGAAUCAAACAAUGUAUGAAUCGUGUCAAACAAAUUGAAGAAAA
rnacentral:lncRNA from 1 species